UAUAUAUAUAUUACACAUUUGACCCACAAGCCACUUAAUUCCUGAUGGGUAAAAUCAAGUCCUGGCGCACAUUUUUUUAGACAUUCUGUUUCACUCGGAAAUAUGGUUAUGACAGUAAAAUGGAUUGCAAGUGGAAAUUCACAUUGACUUUAAAAGUCCUCAGAGUUUAAAAUGCACAACAGCAAAGGCCUUGAGAGAAGAACAUUAUUCUCUAAGUAAUAGAAAUUCUGAGAAUUUUGUUGUGAGCAGAUUAUACUGUGAAAACAAAAGCACUUGUGCGCUUAUGACCUCUAUGUGCUUUUAGUGAAACGCACAAUAUAUAUAUUUUUAACCAGGACCACAAAACCAGUCAAAAGGGUACAUUUUUCAAAAGUGAGAUGUAAACAACGUCCGAAAGCAGAAUAAAUAAGCUUCCCAUUGAUGUAUGGUUUGUUAGGAUAGGACAAUAUUUGGCCGAGAUACAACUACUCAAAUAUCUGGAAUCUGAAGGUGCAAAAAAUCUAAAUAUUGAGAAAAUUGCCUUUAAACUUGUCCAAAUGAAGUCCUUAGCAAUGCAGGUUACUAAUUAAAAAUUAAGUUUUAAUAUAUUAACGGUAGGAAAUUUACAAAAUAUCUUCAUGAAACAUGAUCUUAAUAUCGUAAUCAUUUUUGGCAUAAAAAUAAAAUCAAUAAUUUUGCCCAUACAAUGUAUUGUAGGCUAUUGCUACAAAUAUAUUGUGCUACUUAAGACUGGUUUUGUGGUCCAAGGUCAUAUAGAACAGGUAAAUAAUUUGUGCACAAAGUAAUUUAAUUAUUCUAUUGUAGAAAUUAUUAAUUUAUUUUGUAACUGAAGCUGUCUAAUAAUAGGGAUGAUAAUAAUACUGAGAUGAAGUGAGUAGUAUUUCUCAGGUCAUGUGAUCUCAAUAUGAUAUACAAGUCACUAUAUUAAUAUGUAGUGCCUCUUUAAGUAGUAUUGUUUAAUACUAAUAUCAUAUAUGUGACUUUUAGUUUACUUAUGGUAUUUGAAUUAAAUCAUAGUUUAUUACAAUAUAAAUAUUACAUUAUUUAUGAUCCAGGUUAGGCUACAGUGGUUGUCAUAUUAAUUUAAUACUCAUGAUUAAAUGACUACUGUGCAUAUUCAUACAGCUUGUUGAAUCUCAUUACAAAUUAUAAUUACUUCCAAAUGUAUUUUUUCAGAACAAUUCACUGUUCUAAAUAAAAG
ensembl:lncRNA